AUACAUACCUGGCAGGAGAGAUACCAUGAUCACGAACGUGGUUUUCCCAGGGUGAGGCUUAUCCAUUGCACUCUGGAUGUGCUGACCCCUGUGAUUUCCCCAAAUAUGGGAAACUCAACUGCAUAAUUUGUGGCAGUGGGGCACUGUGUUCAUGCUCAA
ensembl:snRNA U1 U1 spliceosomal RNA